GAGUUGUUUUUUUAAUAUCUGCUAUCUAUGAUUCACUAAGCUAACCUAUAUAUGGGAAUUUAUAUGGGAAUCUUGUAAGAGAAACACAAACUGAAUAUGAUGUGUUCCCUGAGCAAAGACAAAGAGGAAAAAGGCAGAAAUAGCAGCUGCAGCAGCAUGUGGAUUCCUGGGUGUGAUGAAGAGGUUUCUGAUACAUUAAAUGCAGUGUGGAUUUUGCCUUCAUGUAACUCAAGUCAGUUUAUGGAGGAGUUCAUGAAUAGGAGGGAUAUGGAAGAUGCUGCCCAUCCUUAUAUUUCUGAAUUUUCAACCAUUCCAGAUGCAUGAGAGUAUUGACGCGCAGCUCCCUCACGAUCAGUGAUGUUGCCCAUCUUUUUAUGGCUGCAAAGUUGCUUCAGUCUUGUCCGACUCUGUGCAACCCCAUAGACGGUGGCCUGCCAGGCUCCCCCAUCCCUGGGAUUCUCCAGGCAAGAACAUUGGAGUGGGUUGCCAUUUCC